GUCUCUAUGGCUCUCUCUCAGAUAUUUGAGUGAAAAGUUCAGUCAACCAUCCAGCUGUUUGAGUUGAUGCAAGCAAACAUCUGGUUGGUUGAGAGAAUUUUUUACUUAGUCUCUGGAUGUUUGGAGUCAUUUAACAGGC
rnacentral:ncRNA from 2 species